rnacentral:rRNA from 1 species
GUUAAGAUUGAGCUGUGAUGGGGAAGCACUUUCGUGUGCGAAGUAUCUGAUGUCACACUGCCAAGAAAAUCUUCUAGCGUUUAAUUAUAACCUACCCGUACCGCAAACCGGCACAGGUAGUCGAGGCGAGUAGCCUCAGGUGAGCGAGAGAACUCUCGUUAAGGAACUCGGCAAAAUGACCCCGUAACUUCGGGAGAAGGGGUGCUCUACAUUUGUAGAGCCGCAGUGAAUAGGCCCAAGCGACUGUUUAUCAAAAACACAGCUCUCUGCUAAAUCGUAAGAUGAUGUAUAGGGGGUGACGCCUGCCCGGUGCUGGAAGGUUAAGAGGAGUGCUUAGCGUAAGCGAAGGUAUGAAUUGAAGCCCCAGUAAACGGCGGCCGUAACUAUAACGGUCCUAAGGUAGCGAAAUUCCUUGUCGGGUAAGUUCCGACCCGCACGAAAGGCGUAACGAUUUGGGCACUGUCUCAACGAGAGACUCGGUGAAAUUUUAGUACCUGUGAAGAUGCAGGUUACCCGCGACAGGACGGAAAGACCCCAUGGAGCUUUACUGCAAGUUGAUAUUGAGUAUCUGUUGCACAUGUACAGGAUAGGUAGGAGCCAUUGAACUGAGGACGCUAGUUUUCAGUGAGGCGUUGUUGGGAUACUACCCUUGUGUCAUGGCUACUCUAACCCGCACGGCUAAUCGUCGUGGGAGACAGUGUCUGCUGGGCAGUUUGACUGGGGCGGUCGCCUCCUAAAGAGUAACGGAGGCGCUCAAAGUUUCCCUCAGCAUGGUUGGAAAUCAUGCGUAGAGUGUAAAGGUAUAAGGGAGAUUGACUGCGAGACAUACAAGUCGAGCAGGUACGAAAGUAGGACUUAGUGAUCCGGUGGUACCGCAUGGAAGGGCCAUCGCUCAACGGAUAAAAGCUACCCUGGGGAUAACAGGCUUAUCUCCCCCAAGAGUUCACAUCGACGGGGAGGUUUGGCACCUCGAUGUCGGCUCGUCGCAUCCUGGGGCUGUAGUCGGUCCCAAGGGUUGGGCUGUUCGCCCAUUAAAGCGGCACGCGAGCUGGGCUCAGAACGUCGUGAGACAGUUCGGUCCCUAUCCGUCGCGGGCGUAGGAAAUUUGAGAGGAUCUGCCCUUAGUACGAGAGGACCGGGGUGGACUUACCGCUGGUGUACCAGUUGUCUUGCCAAAGGCAUCGCUGGGUAGCUAUGUAGGGAACGGAUAAACGCUGAAAGCAUCUAAGUGUGAAACCAACCUCAAGAUGAGAUUUCCCAUUCUUUAUGAAUUAAGAGCCCUGAGAGAUGAUCAGGUAGAUAGGCUAGAAGUGGAAGGGUAGUGAUACUUGGAGCGGACUAGUACUAAUAGCUCGAGGACUUUACC